GAAAGGGCGCACGGUGGAUGCCUUGGCACUAGGAGCCGAUGAAGGACGGGGCAAACGCCGAAACGCUUCGGGGAGCUGUAAGCAAGCGUUGAUCCGGAGAUGUCCGAAUGGGGGAACCCACUGUCCGUAAUGGGGCAGUAUCCAUGCCUGAAUCCAUAGGGCAUGGAGGGCACACCCGGGGAACUGAAACAUCUUAGUACCCGGAGGAGAAGAAAGCAACCGCGAUUCCCUGAGUAGCGGCGAGCGAAACGGGAACAGCCCAAACCAAGAGGCAUGUCCUCUUGGGGUUGUAGGACCGCUCACGAUGGGAGUGAGAAAGGGACGGGGUAGACGAACCGGUCUGGAACGGCCGGCCAGAGAAGGUGAGAGCCCUGUAGUCGAAACUUCGUUCCCUCCCGAGCGGAUCCUGAGUACGGCGGGACACGAGGAAUCCCGUCGGAAGCAGGGAGGACCAUCUCCCAAGGCUAAAUACUCCCUAGUGACCGAUAGUGCACCAGUACCGUGAGGGAAAGGUGAAAAGCACCCCGGGAGGGGAGUGAAAGAGAACCUGAAACCGUGUGCCUACAAGUAGUCAGAGCCCGUUGAUGGGUGAUGGCGUGCCUUUUGUAGAAUGAACCGGCGAGUGACGAUGGCGUGCGAGGUUAAGCCGAAGAGGCGGAGCCGCAGCGAAAGCGAGUCUGAACAGGGCGUGUGAGUACGUCGUCGUCGACCCGAAACCAGGUGAUCUACCCAUGUCCAGGGUGAAGGCCGGGUAACACCGGCUGGAGGCCCGAACCCACGCACGUUGAAAAGUGCGGGGAUGAGGUGUGGGUAGGGGUGAAAUGCCAAUCGAACUUGGAGAUAGCUGGUUCUCCCCGAAAUAGCUUUAGGGCUAGCCUCGGGUUUAGGAGUCUUGGAGGUAGAGCACUGAUUGGGCUAGGGGCCCAAACCGGGUUACCGAACCCAGUCAAACUCCGAAUGCCAAUGACUUAUGCCCGGGAGUCAGACUGCGAGUGAUAAGAUCCGUGGUCGAGAGGGGAACAGCCCAGACCGCCAGCUAAGGCCCCGAAGUGCACGUUCAGUGGAAAAGGAUGUGGAGUUGCAAAGACAACCAGGAUGUUGGCUUAGAAGCAGCCACCAUUUAAAGAGUGCGUAAUAGCUCACUGGUCGAGUGACUCUGCGCCGAAAAUGUACCGGGGCUAAACGUGCCGCCGAAGCUGCGGGAUGACCGUUGGUCAUCGGUAGGGGAGCGUUCUAAGGGCAGAGAAGCCAGACCGGAAGGACUGGUGGAGCGCUUAGAAGUGAGAAUGCCGGUAUGAGUAGCGAAAACAGAGGUGAGAAUCCUCUGCGCCGAAAGCCUAAGGGUUCCUGAGGAAGGUUCGUCCGCUCAGGGUUAGUCGGGACCUAAGCCGAGGCCGAAAGGCGUAGGUGAUGGACAACAGGUUGAGAUUCCUGUACCACCUUCUUCCCGUUUGAGCGAUGGGGGGACGCAGGAGGAUAGGGCGAGCAGGCGG
rnacentral:rRNA from 1 species